AUUGAACGCUGGCGGCAGGCCUAACACAUGCAAGUCGAACGAGUGGCGGACGGGUGAGUAAUGUCUGGGAAACUGCCCGAUGGAGGGGUAUAACUACUGGAAAAGGUAGCUAAUAACGCAUACCAUCGGAUGUGCCGAGGGGGGAUUAGCUAGUAGGUGGGGUAACGGCUCACCUAGGCGACGAUCCCUAGCCGGGCUGAGAGGGUGACCAGCCACACUGGGACUGAGACACGGUCCAGACUCCUACGGGAGGCAGCAGUGGGGAAUAUUGCACAAUGGGCGCAAGCCUGAUGCAGCCAUGCCGCGUGUAUGAAGAAGGCCUUCGGGUGGUAAAGUACUUUCAGCGAGGAGGCGUUACUCGCAGAAGAAGCACCGGCUAACUCCGUGCCAGCAGCCGCGGUAAUUC
rnacentral:rRNA from 1 species